rnacentral:rRNA from 1 species
UUUCAUUUUGCCAUUGCCCGGGAGAAGGAAACGACACCAACAGCGACUGCCCCGGUAGCGGAGAGGGCAGGAGCUAGAGUUCGGAUUCGAAAUAAUUUUUUUGGCACGAGUUGUAGAGUGUAGGCGGGAGUCUUUGUGGAGCACGGUGUCCAAGUCCCUUGGAACAGGGCGCCUGAGAGGGUGAGAGCCCCGUGGGGUGCCGUGCGAAGCUUUGAGGCCCUGCUGACGAGUCGAGUUGUUUGGGAAUGCAGCUCCAAGUGGGUGGUAAAUUCCAUCUAAGGCUAAAUACUGGCGAGAGACCGAUAGCGAACAAGUACUGUGAAGGAAAGAUGAAAAGCACUUUGAAAAGAGAGUGAAACAGCACGUGAAAUUGUUGAAAGGGAAGGGUAUUGGGCCCGACAUGGGGAGUGCGCACCGCUGUCUCUUGUAGGCGGCGCUCUGGGCGCUCUCUGGGCCAGCAUCGGUUUUUGCUGCGGGAGAAUGGGUGCCGGAAAGUGGCUCUUCGGAGUGUUAUAGCCGGCGCCAGAUACCGCGUGCGGGGACCGAGGACUGCGGCUCUUCUCGAUGCUGCACAUCCAAACC